rnacentral:misc_RNA from 1 species
UGCUCUAGCUCAUCCCUCACCUUGCAGAGCAUAAUGUUUUCACAAGAGAAAACUACAUUAGUAAAGCAAGUUUCUUGCAAGGAAAUUGAAGUGGGCACCACAUCGUAUUUGACAGAAGUAGCAUUUAACAGCAUAAUAUGUUUCAUGGUAUGUAAGCACCAGACACCCCUCAUUUAUCUCACCAUAAAAGAAAUAUAUAUAGGAUAUUACAAUCAGCAACAAAAACCAGCAUUGACAAAUCUGAAAGAAGAUUGGCACAAAGCAGAUCAAAUAGUUUCAAUUGACUACCUUCUGUACUCGACCAGAUAUC